CACAUUAUUGUUCAAUCACUGUUCAGACCUUUCAGAGCUCCUGAAACACACAAGAAAAUGAUGUCCUUGUUUCUCCUGGUUGGGACGCUUCUCAUCAUCUUUGUCCAGGUCUCCAGUGGGCAGAUCACUAUGACUCAGACUCCUUCAGCGCUCUCUGCUCUCCCAGGAGAAAGAGUCACUAUCAACUGCAAAGCCAGCAGCUCUGUUAGCAUUGGUAGUACAAGCUUCCUAGCAUGGUACCUGCAGACACCUGGAGAAGCUCCUAAACUCCUGAUCUAUUAUGCAAGCACCCUUCAAUCUGGGAUCCCAGCUCGUUUCAGUGGCAGUGGAUCUGGGACUGACUUCACUCUGACCAUCAGCGGUGUCCUGGCUGAAGAUGCAGGAGAUUACUACUGUCAGCAGGGUAGAAGCACCCCUCUCACACAGUGA